AGUGUGUGUUGUUCCCCUCCCUGUGUCCAUACAGAGCACCCCUUUCUCUCCAAGGAUCGCUGUGGCCUCUGUAAGCUCCCCUCAUAACUGCUCUGAACUGAGCACCCUGCUGAUGAGGGCUUCUUUCUUUGGAAUCCCAAUCGACCCCAUCCUGGAACAGUUCAGAGUACUCCCUUGUGGGAAUUCCCCCGCCGCUGCUUUUGGGGUGAUUCCAGCGUUGGGUUGGCUGGACAAAACAGCCUCGAAGCAUACUGCCCCAAAUCUGGUCCUUCUGAGUUUCUGAUUCCCUCACUCUUCAUCUCUUAUGACGCCUUCCUAAACAUUCCUGAGAGUUUCAAACAUUGUCUUUCAUUUGACUCAGGGAUUCAUCAUCCGCUUCCUGUUGAAAUAGUAAACGCCUCCACAUGGACUCACGGGUUCACCUCCUUCCGGUCUGAACAGUGAACUCCUCCGCAUCAACUCACCCAUUCACCCCUUCCGGUCUAAACAGUGAACGCCUCCGCAUGGACUCACGAGUUCACCUCCUUCCGGUCUAAACAGUGAACGCCUCCGCAUCGACUCACGGGUUCACCUCCUUCCGGUCUGAACAGUGAACUCCUCCGCAUGGACUCACGGGUUCACCUCCUUCCGGUCUGAACAGUGAACGCCUCCGCAUCGACUCACGGGUUCACCUCCUUCCGGUCUGAACAGUGAACUCCUCCGCAUGGACUCACGGGUUCACCUCCUUCCGGUCUGAACAGUGAACUCCUCCGCAUCGACUCACGGGUUCACCUCCUUCCGGUCUGAACAGUGAACUCCUCCGCAUGGACUCACGGGUUCACCUCCUUCCGGUCUGAACAGUGAACUCCGCAUCGACUCACGCGUUCACCUCCUUCCGGUCUAAAUGGUAAACUCCUCUGCAUUUUCUGUUCGGUUCUAUUUUGGUGGGGCCCACGCGUCAUCACAGAGUAUCUGGGAGCCCUGCCCUCUUGCAGAUGGGAAUGAAGGCCCAGGUGCUCUGGAGAGGUGACUCUCCUCUAGGUGAGGGGUGUGUGUGUGAGAGGAGUGAGGUGCGGUGUGGGAGGGUCCUUGCAGGGUCCGGCUGCUUUCGGAGGCUGUUUUUCUCAGCUCCCCGUUUUGUCCCUCCAAAUUGUGCCCCUCUCCUUCCAAUUGUCACUCUCCUUUCCCCCAACCCUCCCUGUCUCCCAGUUGUCUCGCUUCUCAGAAAGGAAACACUGGUUCUGUAAACCUGUUUGAGAAGAAAAGCUCGAGGUUUCUUGGCCUCUCUGCUUCUGGAGCCAGGGGAAAAAAUAGCCCCAGGCUGAAGACAGGAGGGACCAGAUUGCUGCUUGGUGAUGCGAUCUCACUGCAGAGGCAGCCAGGAGACCCUCCUGAGACGAAUCGGAGAGUCCAUGCUGCUUUUACACACAUCCUAGUUCUUUUAUAACUAGCCUUUUCCUAUUAACGGACAUCAUUCAAAAGCCAGUUUUAAGCAACAUAAAUAUUGAAAACAAUACUAUACUAUUUAGAAUUAAUUAUAAGUUUUGUUUUUAAAGCCUAAAUCUUUUAUUGUUGUUUGAACCCUGGGCACUGAAGCUAAUAAUGUAACUUUUCUCCCUUCUUUCUUCUUUGGCAUAGAUUUAAAGAACUGUUAGACUCAUUUAAAAUGCUAUUAGGCAUUUUAAAGAGUAAUUGUUAAAUGUGUUGUCUCUUGUGGGACUGGAAAUGUUCUGUUCUUAUCUGGCGCUGGUUACAUCCUGUUUUUCAUUUGGGAAAGUGCAUUGAGCUGGAAAUUUAUAUGUUCAAUUUCUGUAUGUAAAUUGUACUUCAGUAAAAAUUUUCAAAAAAGUG
rnacentral:lncRNA from 1 species